rnacentral:rRNA from 1 species
AACGAACGCUGGCGGCAGGCUUAACACAUGCAAGUCGAACGGGCGUAGCAAUACGUCAGUGGCAGACGGGUGAGUAACACGUGGGAACCUUCCUAGGGGUACGGAACAACUCAGGGAAACUUGAGCUAAUACCGUAUACGUCCGUGAGGAGAAAGAUUUAUCGCCCUUAGACGGGCCCGCGUCGGAUUAGGUAGUUGGUGGGGUAACGGCCUACCAAGCCUUCGAUCCGUAGCUGAUCGGAGAGGAUGAUCAGCCACACUGGGACUGAGGCACGGCCCAGACUCCUACGGAAGGCAGCAGUGGGGAAUCUUGGACAAUGGGCGCAAGCCUGAUCCAGCCAUGCCGCGUGAGUGAAGAAGGCCUUAGGGUUGUAAAGCUCUUUUACCAGGGACGAUAAUGACGGUACCUGGAGAAUAAGCCCCGGCAAACUUCGUGCCAGCCGCCGCCGUAAGAC